rnacentral:rRNA from 1 species
CCUACGGGAGGCAGCAGUAGGGAAUCUUCCACAAUGGGCGAAAGCCUGAUGGAGCAACGCCGCGUGGGUGAAGAAGGUCUUCGGAUCGUAAAACCCUGUUGUUAGAGAAGAAAGUGCGUGAGAGUAACUGUUCACGUUUCGACGGUAUCUAACCAGAAAGCCACGGCUAACUACGUGCCAGCAGCCGCGGUAAUACGUAGGUGGCAAGCGUUAUCCGGAUUUAUUGGGCGUAAAGGGAACGCAGGCGGUCUUUUAAGUCUGAUGUGAAAGCCUUGGGCUUAACCGGAGUAGUGCAUUGGAAACUGGGAGACUUGAGUGCAGAAGAGGAGAGUGGAACUCCAUGUGUAGCGGUGAAAUGCGUAGAUAUAUGGAAGAACACCAGUGGCGAAAGCGGCUCUCUGGACCGUAACUGACGUUGAGGCUCGAAAGCGUGGGGAGCAAACAGGAUUAGAUACCCUGGUAGUC